rnacentral:lncRNA from 1 species
CUCUCUCUCUAUUUGUAAAUUUCACUUGUAAUUUUUGGAGUGAAAUAUAUUUGGUAGUGCCCGAGGACGUAGGCAAAAUUUGCUGAACCUCGUUAAAAUUCUGGUGUUCUUUAUUAUUUGUUUUGCAUAUUUUGUGAAUGUGAUUGUAGUGAUUUAUUGUGCUAUUAAAUUACGAUAGAGGGAUAUUCUGGCUAGGAAAGACUUGGUAUUUAAGUGAUCUUCGUGAUCUACCUCUCUUUCCUGGGAAUUGAACUUAGUGUGAUUUUUCAGUACAAUAAUUUUACUCUUUCACACGCUUCCGCGCAACAAUUGGUACCAGAGCCAGGUUCGUACUUGGGGAAUACGACUGUUUACGAUACUAUUCACGUAUACGGCACUAUUCACGUAUAUAGUACUAUUCACGUAUACGACACUAUUCACGUAUACGGUACUGUUCACGUAUACAGUAGUUGGGAUUGAGGAGAAAAAUGGCAGCAGCAUCGUCAUCAGUAAGGACUACUGUGACAAAUGCAAAAUUUGAAGUAGAGAAAUUUGACGGUACCAAUAAUUUUGGUAUGUGGCAAUGUGAGAUCUUGGAUGUCUUAUGUCAGCAAGAGCUAGAUAUAGCCCUUGAAGAAAAACCUGAUAAGAUGGAUGACAAGGAGUGGGCCAAGAUCAAUAGACAGGCGUGUGGUACAAUCCGCCUAUGUUUGGCCAGAGAGCAGAAGUACUCUGUCAUGAGGGAGACAUCAGCGAAGAAAUUAUGGGAUGAAGAAAGUAAGCAAUGGUUAGGCCUAUUUAUAGUUGAGGUUCAAGGAUCAACUUGCAAUGUCCCUAUACAAUUAGGGACCAAAAUUGCAAUUAUCCCAUGCCAACUUUUAACCCAACUUGCCAACCAAUAUUACUUUCUACUUUCGGUGCCCACCCCAUUUGACUUUUCAAACAACGGUGGGUUCCAAUAAUCACACGGUCUUCACAUCAAGCUGAACUAGUUCAAGAUCAUAUUGCGCAACCAAGGCUAGCAAAAUCCGAAUAGACGAAUGCUUCAAAACUGGAGAAAACACUUCAUUGUAGUCUAUUCCUUCUUUCUGAGCGUAACCCUUUGCUACUAAUCUAGCCUUGUAUCGAAUUUCAUUUUUAUCAAGAAAUCCUUCCUUCUUUGCAUAUACCCAUUUGCAUCCAAUUGCCUUCUUUCCCUUGGGUAGUGUCACCAACUCCCAGGUCUUAUUUUUAUGAAGAGACUGCAUUUUUUCAUUCAUUGCUUGCUUCCACUUUACACCAUCAGGGUUACUUAUUACUUCUGUGUAAGUAGAAGGAACAUCAUCAUCUGUAAUUGGAAGUGCAUAGGCCACUAUAUCAUCAAAGCGAGCAGGCUUACGAAUCUCUCUUCUUGGCCUUCUAUAUGCAAUUGAAUCUUGUUGCUGUAGAGGUUCUUGGGUAGGAACCUCUUCAUCAUUUGUCCCUUCAAUAUUAGCUGGAUCAUCGUUAACCUUUUCAAGCUCCACCUGCUGCAAAGUACUACUGGUUUUGUCAUCCUUUUGUGAAUCCUUGUACUUUAACAUGGUUGAUUCAUCAAAAGUCACAUCUCUACUGAAAACAAUCUUCCUUGUAUCAGGACACCAGAGACGAUAUCCUUUUACUCCAUCAGUUAUACCCAAGAAUAAUGCUUUCUUUGCUCUUGGGUCUAACUUAGAUUCUUUUACAUGAUAAUAUGCAGUGGAACCAAAUACAUGCAAAGAAUCAUAAUCAGUAGCAGAUUUACCAGUCCACAUCUCCAUAGGAGUUUUUCCAUUUAUUGCAGCUGAUGGCAAACGGUUAAUUAGAUGGCACGCAUAUGUAACUGCCUCAGCCCAAAAUUCUUUGCCCAAUCCAGCAUUGGACAACAUACAUCGAACUUUCUCCAGUAUAGUUCGAUUCAUUCGUUCUGCCACCCCAUUUUGCUGUGGUGUAUCCCGAAUAGUGAAGUGUCGCACAAUGCCCUCAUCUUGGCAUACUUGUAGAAAUGGAUCAUUUUUGUACUCAGUACCAUUAUCUGAUCGAAGUCGUUUGACCUUUCGACCAGUCUGAGUCUCCACCAUCUUCUUCCAUUUCAGAAAUGCAUCCAAAACUUCACUUUUUCUUUUCAUUAGAUACACCCAUACUUUUCUUGAAUAAUCAUCAACAAAAGUAACAAAAUAGUGCAUACCUCCCAAAGAAGCUACUUUGGUAGGUCCCCACACAUCACUGUGAACGUAGUCCAGAAUUCCUUUCGUAUUGUGAAUUGCUGGACCAAAUUUUACCCUCUUCUGCUUGCCCAGAACACAAUGUUCACAGAAUUCCAUUUUGCAAGAAUUUGCACCUUUCAAUAAGCCUUGCUUCACCAAUGUCUACAAAGCUUUUUCACCAGCAUGUCCCAAUCGCAUAUGCCAUAAUCUGGUAGCCUCUGAAUCUACAUCUUUUGUAGAAACUAUUGAUUUGAUCCAAUAACUGUACUUCCAUUUAAAAAAUACAAGUUAUUUCUUCUUGUGCCUUUCAUCACCGUCAGUUGCCCAGCUACUACUUUUAGUAAUCCAUCUCUCAAAGUGAUUGUGAGCCCUUUAGAUUCUAGGGCACCUAAUGAGAUGAGAUUUUUCUUCAGGCUAGGUACGUAGCGAACAUCUGUCAAGACUUGGAUUGAGCCGUCGUGAUUCUUCAAUUGGACUGUACCCACUCCCAUUGUCUUACAAGCACUAUCAUUGCCCAUAAGAACAAUUCCACCUUCUAGCUCUUUAAGACUAGAAAACCAGUCCUUAUUAGGACACAUAUGGUAAGUACAUCCUGAAUCCAAAAUCCACUCAUCCGUUUGACAUGCCAUUGCCAUGCCAACCAAGCUAAAGUCUGACUCCUCAUCAUGCUCCGCUACACAUGCAUUAGAAAUAGCCUUGCCCUUUUGUAGCUUAGGACAAUUCUUUUUCCAAUGCCCUUUUUCACGGCAAAAGGCACAUUCAUCUUUGGCGGGUUUCCCUUUGGAUUCAAGGUUGCUGGAAAAGAAAAUUGGGUUUGCAAACUGACAAAGUCGCUUUAUGGAUUGAAGCAAUCUCCUUCGACGAAUACGGAACGAGAAUACAUGUUGCAAGUUCCGUAUUCUAAUGCAGUGGGUAGCUUGAUGUAUGCAAUGGUGUGUACAAGACCCGACAUUUCACAAGCAGUUAGUAUAGUGAGCAGGUAUAUGCAUAAUCCUAGAAAAGGACAUUGGCAAGCUGUGAAAUGGAUUCUACGGUAUAUUCAGAAGACCGUGGAUGUUGGAUUACUGUUCAAGCAGGAUAAUACACUUGGUAAAGGUGUUAUUGGGUACGUUGAUUCUGACUAUGCCGGUGAUUUGGACAAGCGAAGAUCAACCACCGGUUAUGUGUUUACACUUGCUGAAGGACCAAUAAGUUGGAAGUCUACACUACAGUCUACAGUUGCAUUGUCAACCACAGAAGCCGAGUACAUGGCUGUAACAGAGGCUGUAAAGGAGGCUAUUUGGUUACAAGGUAUGGCUAAAACCUUGGGGUUGGUUCAGGAGCAUAUUAACGUGUAUUGUGAUAGUCAAAGUGCUAUUCAUUUAGCAAAGAAUCAAGUCUAUCAUGCACGUACAAAACAUAUCGACGUACGAUUCCAUUUUGUGCGGGAAAUUAUUGAAGAGGGGAAAAUUUGUCUUCAGAAGAUCAAGACUGCAGAUAAUCCCGCAGAUAUGAUGACCAAGGUGGUAACAGCAACCAAGUUCGAACAUUGUUUGAACUUGAUUAAUAUCCUGCAAGUUUAACAGUUGAAGAAGGCACUAUCAAGUAUUGUUGUCAAAAGCAGAAAGAAUUGUGUGAAGAUAAGAUUAUCGUAAUCAAAUCUUCAAGGUGGAGAUUAUUGGAACCCACCAUUGUUUGAAAAGUCAAAUGGGGUGGGCACCGAAAGUAGAAAGUAAUAUUGGUUGGCAAGUUGGGUUAAAAGUUGGCAUGGGAUAAUUGCAAUUUUGGCCCCUAAUUGUAUAGGGACAUUGCAAGUUGAUCCUUGAACCUCAACUAUAAAUAGGCCUAACCAUUGCUUACUUUCUUCAUCCCAUAAUUGCCAUUCUCUACUUAAGGCAUUAUUCUCUCUCUCUAUUUGUAAAUUUCACUUGUAAUUUUUGGAGUGAAAUAUAUUUGGUAAUGCCCGAGGACGUAGGCAAAAUUUGCUAAACCUCGUUAAAAUUCUAGUGUUCUUUAUUAUUUGUUUUGCAUAUUUUGUGAAUGUGAUUGUAGUGAUUUAUUGUGCUAUUAAAUUACGAUAGAGGGAUAUUCUGGCUAGGAAAGACUUGGUAUUUAAGUGAUCUUCGUGAUCUACCUCUCUUUCCUGGGAAUUGAACUUAGUGUGAUUUUUCAGUACAAUAAUUUUACUCUUUCACACGCUUCCGCGCAACAAUUACCAUGAAAUUCCCAUAUCCACCAUUACUAAAGAUUGAAAGGGAGACCUAC